rnacentral:rRNA from 1 species
GACGAACGCUGGCGGCGUGCAUAACACAUGCAAGUCGAACGAGACCUCCGGGUAUAGUUGUGCACGGGGGCGUUACGCGGGGUAACCUGCACUUGGGUACGGAAUAAUUCCCCGAAAGGGGUGCUCAUACCGGUAAAUGUCUUAGGACAAAAGAUGUAUCGCGUGUGGCUGGGACCGCGUUGGAUUAGCUGGUUGGUAGGGUAAAAGCCUACCAAGGCGAUGAUCCAUAGCUGGUCUGUGAGGAGGAUCAGCCACACUUGGGCUGAGACCCGGCCCAGACUCCGACGGGGGGGAGGAGUGGGGGAUAUUGGACGAUGGGGGAAAGCCUGAUCCAGCAGUGCCGGGGGAGUGAUGAAGGCCUUAGGGUUGUAAAGCUCUUUUACCCGGGAUGAUAAUGACAGUACCGGGAGAAUAAGCUCCGGCUAACUCCGUG